GCUACGCGGAGGAUUAGAGCAGGCGGUGCGCUGGGGGCGGGAGCAGCGCGGAGCCCGGCUCGGCCACACCGAUCGCCCGCCGCCAUGGGCUCCUCGCAAAGCGUCGAGAUCCCGGGCGGGGGCACCGAGGGCUACCACGUUCUGCGGGAGAGGGAUCCGGACCCGCAGUCCGGAGGCGGGGCCUGCGGCGGCAGGUGUUAAAUCACCUCGGCGCCGGCCGAGUGGCCUGAAAGACCAGCAGGGCAGGAGACGGAAAACCAAAUGGCCUGGAAGUACAAGAAAAUUCCCCAGGACACAGAGCUGGUUUGGAGCCUUUCUUUGAUUUUAUUGUUUCUAUUAAUGGUUCAAGAUUAAAUAAAGACAAUGACACUCUUAAGGAUCUGCUGAAAGCAAACGUUGAAAAGCCUGUAAAGAUGCUUAUCUAUAGCAGCAAAACAUUGGAACUGCGAGAGACCUCAGUCACACCAAGUAACCUGUGGGGCGGCCAGGGCUUAUUGGGAGUGAGCAUUCGUUUCUGCAGCUUUGAUGGG
rnacentral:lncRNA from 1 species